AUAAUAACUCUAAAAAGUAAAAAAAAAUAUGUUUGACAAAAAAAAAAGUUAUUCCAUAAGACAGAGUAAUAGAAACUUCAAAGCAUAUAAGAUUGAGAAAAAGUUUUUGGCUAUGAAGAGGUUCUUUCUCUUUUUGGGGUUAAAGUUCAAAUUUCAAACACAAUUUGAAUGAGCAUUCCAAAUCAGAACUAUUCUUUUAUUCUUGAUUUUCUGUUUCUCUCUUCGCUUCUUUCUUUCUACCUGGGCGCUCUCUCUUUGAAAAGAAAAAGAAAGCUCACCGGUGAUGGAAACAGUAACUGGCAUAGAAGAUAGAGAAUGGGGCGAGCUCAGUGCUGUGGGUUAGCAGAGCGUCUGUCGAAGAAAAAAGAAGACGACGAAAAAGAGGCUCCGAAUCUGUUUCCGGCAAGUAGCAAAGAUGGAGAACAAUAAAUUAGAGAUGGCGGUGGCCGUUGAUGCAGCUGCAAGGAGAAAGAAUAGUGGCACGGUGAGCGGUGUUACUUCCAUCAGAGAAGAAGGAGCAGUUGGCAACAAGUUGACGACUUCGGUCAAAAGAAUGGAGAGCUCCGAGAUCCUGUUGUCGGUGGUGUGGCAGAGGAACAACUUCCCUGACAAAGCUCAAGAUGUGAAAUUUGCUGGCAAGGUGCUCUGGCUGAAGCUGCCAUAGGCCAAAACGAGGUAAGUCAGAAAAAGCAACAAGUCCCGAGUGAGGCCAAUCAAGUGGCACCCUCAGUUGAAUUGGUUAGCUGCAGAUACAGUUGGUUUAGGAAGUUCUCUGGCUGUUGUUGCAGAACAAAAAUGGCCCGUUGGAUUUUUAUGCUAAAAGAAGAGAAGAAAAGAGAAAAUGCUUAAUCCACAGAUGGAGGCAUUUGGUUUAGGCAGUGACUUGAUCACUCGUUGAUCGCUCAGUUGAUUUUUUGCUUAAUUUGCAAUAAGGAUAGAUGUUUUGUGUGUGAAUUGCUUUGGUAAGAACAAUGCCUUGAGAUGAAGACUACUUUGUGUUUUUUUGUGUUUAAAUUAAGAAAAUACCCGGUUGAAAGCAAUCUUUUUUUAUUGGGAUUGUCCAUGAUUCCUUUAAAAGAAGAGGUUAGUUUAGUAAUUUCAUCUAAUAUCAACCUAGAAGAAUUGGUUUUUGAUAAUUGGAAUAUGCAAAAUAGAUCUUUAUUUGUGGUUUCUAAUUGUGGAACUUAGGUAAACUUAAAUAGUGAAACUCAACUCAAAAUCGAUUCAGUGAGUAGACAUGUAAACUACAGAAUUUGAUUAGGAGAACUUUUUGGUAUCCACUGCAUCAUUGUAGCUGCAAGUUAUGGCUGUUUGUAUACCUUUCAUAAUCAGAACUAAUAAAUGAUCCAAUUUGUCCAAUACUGAUUUUGCAAGAAAGUGGAUCUGAAGUGUAUGACUGCCGAAAACAAAAUUGGCUGAAAGUAGAUGACAUUCAGGUUGUAUCUAUUGAAGUAGAUCUCAAUUCUCUUCUAUUUUGCUGAAAAACUUAGUUAAUGCACAGUCAUCUUUGAUAUAAAAAUUCAUAGACUUAAAUAUUAGCCUCCCAGUUAUGUUUAUAUAUUUUUUGAAAGUUUAAAUAAUUUUCUUUUGGCUUGCUCUUGAAAAGUUACAUUUUUAUUUAAGACAACAAUAUAAGGAAAUAGAAAACAAAUAGAAAAAAAAAAUUGGGCCUUUUUUUCUCCUACCUUUCUUAUGCAUGUGUCCUCCUAUGUUGUCUUAAUUGUGUGUUUUUACCUGAAAUGGCAGUUAGUACUAUUGAUUUUGGGACCAAAGCUUUAGAAUUUCUGGCCUUGCGUGAGAAUGAGGAUGGCACCACAAAUGCACCAUCUAUUCCUCCUAACAAUCAUCAGGUAUGGACAUUACUUUCAAUUUUGUUACAAUUUUUGUCUUUUAAUUUAUGUAAUUUUGAACCAUAGAUCAGUAUUAGUGUUAUUAUUAUUUUGGAAUUUUGAAAAAUUAAGGAUUUUUAUUUGAAAUGUAUAAUGAUUUUCAUAUUAUCUUUAAAUCUAAAGCAAGACCUUUAUUACUAUUAACAUCAAAGAGAACAUAAUGAUAAUUAUGAGCUAAAAAAUUAGGAUAGUAAGUUUGGUGUUAGCUGCAAUCUUAUAAUGUUUGGUGUUCUCUUACUUCUUUUCUUAUUGUAUUUAGGUUUUUAGUAAAUUUUAAAAUUCACUUAUUCCAAUAAUAUUUUACUGUUUGUGUAUAGCAAAGCAUUGAUUUAGUGUGUAUAUAUAUAUUAUAUAUGAACUCUUAACAAUAAGUACUCAAAGUGCUAAGGAGAUAGGUUCUUUCAUAUGCACUUAUGUAAAUACUUUUAUUUGUGUGAAGAAGAAUCAUUAUAUGGGUUCAUAAUAACUGUAUUGCUCUCUUUUGAUUUGGAUUUGUUUCUAGGUUUUGCUCUCUUUUUAUUGCUUAUUUAUUUAUUUAUUUUCUUUUCGCUCUUAAAAGCUAUGUAAUAUAAGAAGGCAAACUAGGAUGUGAAGAAAAUAUACAUGAUUUCUUUUCACUCAUCAAUUUAACAUUUUUGCUCUAGAAUAUAUUUGCUACUAAAAUCAUAGUUUCUUACAUAAUUGUAGGCAUUAUUUUUCUUAUAUUCUUUAACAUUGUUGCCUAUGCAUAAGAUUUUGAAUUUCUGCUAUACUUGAUACUUGGUAGUUAUUUUAUUUCAAUUAAGAAAAUGGUUGCUUUUUUGUUUCAAAGUUUAGACUAAACCAAAAACUACCUUCCUAUGCUUACUUCGAAUUCUGAAGUCAUUGCUGAGAUUUUCUUUUUCUCAAGAGUUGUGGUGCAUACUGGAGGUUUCAAUCGUUAGAGUGUGCGGUAAAAAAUGGUUGCUCCUUCAAAUAAUUUUGCAUGUUAUUUGAGUUCAAUAUGUCAUUACUUCAUGUUUAUUUUGUUCAUUUGAUUGUUGUAUUUUGUUAAAUUUGUGAUCAAUACCAAAAAUGAAACUCCAAACAAGAAAGCUGUUGAGGGAUUAUAACUAACUCUUUAUGAUCAGGAGUACCAAGAGGUGCAAAUAAAGAAAAAGGUGCAAUUUAGUGUGAAUGUAAAAUAAGAUGGAAUUGUGAUUAAGUGUCUAACUAUAUGCUACUUGAGUUUGUAAUAUUUGUAAAAAUAUUAG